UACGUAGGGGGCUAGCGUUGUCCGGAAUCAUUGGGCGUAAAGAGCGUGUAGGCGGCUCGGUAAGUCCGCUGUAAAAGUCAAAGGCUCAACCUUUGAAUGUCAGUGGAUACUGCCGGGCUAGAGUCCGGAAGAGGCGAGUGGAACUCCUGGUGUAGCGGUGGAAUGCGCAGAUAUCGGGAGGAACACCUAUGGCGAAGGCAGCUCGCUGGGACGUUACUGACGCUGAGACGCGAAAGCGUGGGGAGCAAACAGG
rnacentral:rRNA from 1 species